GCGAGAAUAGCUUAAUGGUAGAGUGGCAAGAUUUCCGACUUUGCAGAUGUGGGUUCAACUCCCAUUUUUCGCUCCA
rnacentral:tRNA from 2 species